rnacentral:tRNA from 2 species
GGGCCCGUAGCUUAGCCCGGUAGAGCGCCCGGCUCAUAAAGAUCCUUCUCUUGAGAGACCGGGUGGUCCGGGGUUCAAGUCCCCGCGGGCCCA